rnacentral:rRNA from 1 species
GACGAACGCUGGCGGCGUGCUUAACACAUGCAAGUCGAACGGAAAGGCCCUGCUUUUGUGGGGUGCUCGAGUGGCGAACGGGUGAGUAACACGUGAGUAACCUGCCCUUGACUUUGGGAUAACUUCAGGAAACUGGGGCUAAUACCGGAUAGGAGCUCCUGCUGCAUGGUGGGGGUUGGAAAGUUUCGGCGGUUGGGGAUGGACUCGCGGCUUAUCAGCUUGUUGGUGGGGUAGUGGCUUACCAAGGCUUUGACGGGUAGCCGGCCUGAGAGGGUGACCAGCCACAUUGGGACUGAGAUACGGCCCAGACUCCUACGGGAGGCAGCAGUGGGGAAUAUUGCACAAUGGGCGGAAGCCUGAUGCAGCAACGCCGCGUGCGGGAUGACGGCCUUCGGGUUGUAAACCGCUUUCGCCUGUGACGAAGCGUGAGUGACGGUAAUGGGUAAAGAAGCACCGGCUAACUACGUGCCAGCAGCCGCGGUGAUACGUAGGGUGCGAGCGUUGUCCGGAUUUAUUGGGCGUAAAGGGCUCGUAGGUGGUUGAUCGCGUCGGAAGUGUAAUCUUGGGGCUUAACCCUGAGCGUGCUUUCGAUACGGGUUGACUUGAGGAAGGUAGGGGAGAAUGGAAUUCCUGGUGGAGCGGUGGAAUGCGCAGAUAUCAGGAGGAACACCAGUGGCGAAGGCGGUUCUCUGGGCCUUUCCUGACGCUGAGGAGCGAAAGCGUGGGGAGCGAACAGGCUUAGAUACCCUGGUAGUCCACGCUGUAAACGGUGGGUACUAGGUGUGGGGUCCAUUCCACGGGUUCCGUGCCGUAGCUAACGCUUUAAGUACCCCGCCUGGGGAGUACGGCCGCAAGGCUAAAACUCAAAGGAAUUGACGGGGCCCCGCACAAGCGGCGGAGCAUGCGGAUUAAUUCGAUGCAACGCGUAGAACCUUACCUGGGUUUGACAUGGAUCGGGAGUGCUCAGAGAUGGGUGUGCCUCUUUUGGGGUCGGUUCACAGGUGGUGCAUGCCUGUCGUCAGCUCGUGUCGUGAGAUGUUGGGUUAAGUCCCGCAACGAGCGCAACCCUUGUUCACUGUUGCCAGCACGUUAUGGUGGGGACUCAGUGGAGACCGCCGGGGUCAACUCGGAGGAAGGUGGGGAUGACGUCAAGUCCUCAUGCCCCUUAUGUCCAGGGCUUCACGCAUGCUACAAUGGCUGGUACAGAGAGUGGCGAGCCUGUGAGGGUGAGCGAAUCUCGGAAAGCCGGUCUCAGUUCGGAUUGGGGUCUGCAACUCGACCUCAUGAAGUCGGAGUCGCUAGUAAUCGCAGAUCAGCAACGCUGCGGUGAAUACGUUCCCGGG